rfam:Pseudomonas syringae pv. japonica str. M301072 contig1.3, whole genome shotgun sequence.
CUAGCCUUCAUCGAUCGCUGCCCAAUCAGCGAUCAGGUUUGGUAGACCUGAGUG